AUGAGUGGUAGAGGUAAGACUGGUGGUAAAGCGAGAGCAAAGGCUAAAACUCGCUCAUCGAGGGCUGGACUGCAAUUCCCGGUUGGUCGCGUUCACCGGCUGCUGCGUAAAGGCAACUAUGCCGAACGUGUUGGUGCCGGUGCUCCAGUUUAUCUGGCCGCUGUGCUCGAAUAUCUGACCGCUGAGAUCCUGGAGUUGGCUGGUAACGCUGCCCGUGAUAACAAGAAAACCCGCAUCAUUCCCAGACAUCUGCAGCUGGCAGUACGUAACGACGAAGAGUUGAAUAAGCUCCUUGGAGGCGUCACCAUCGCUCAGGGAGGAGUACUGCCGAAUAUCCAAGCUGUACUGCUCCCCAAGAAGACCGAAAAGGCAGUGAAGGGAAAGUAAUUAAUAUCACUUCCACGACUACCAUUCACCCGAAGGCUCUUUUCAGAGCCACCCCACCUGUACAAAGAACGAAAAGCGACCAUUGACCAACUUAGCUAGUUUGUUGUUCAGACUUUCUUUUUUUUUUUUUUUUUUGCCUCGCUUUAACGUUGAAUCGGAGGUUUUGCGGUGGAACUUCCGGUCUGGUUUGUUGCUUCGUUUUACACUAUGUGUUUGCAGGACCUAAACGAUGUACACCGCAUCGUGAGUGCUUCCUCGGUCGCCCAUACGAGCAAAAGAGAAAAGGGGUUUAAAAUGUAUAUUUCGAGCUACAUCGACAACUAUGAGGGUGAGUAACGGCGUCAUUAGUUAGCUAGCGCUAGCUAAGCUAGCGUUAGCUGGCUGCCUCGCAACUAACGUUACCUUACUUUGUUUUUACUAGUCAGCUAAUGUUGCUAACUUACAUCUACAUUCACAAUUCACAAAAUGAGUAACGUUACAUUCUUGUCUAACGUAAAUAUGUCUUUUUUUCAGUAUCAAACAAAGAAAAAAGUACAGGAGAGGUCAGCGCCAGGGCGACCUGCUACAGAUCCAUGAGAAAGCAUGAGAAACCGCACGAUUUGAGAGUAUGCGCAGUUAGCUAGCUCUAGUUCUCAGUCAUGUUCUGGGGAGUCAGUGUUGCUAGAGUUUGGAUGUUAGGCAAAACACCAGUCAGUGAUUUGUAUGUUCACACUUUUGAAAUUUAGUUGCAGCAUGUUUAGCAUGGCGUCCCCAGAAAAUGUUUUGAGCAUUGCUGUUCCUUGUCAGAUGCUCCACUCACCUUAUGAACUGUCACCUUCCCCUCACUCAUCUUCUUACUGUUCCUAUCUGUUACUAUUCACAUAUAUUCAUACUAACCCUAACCCUAACCCUUUAAAUUCAUCAGUUGAGAGUUUCCAGAACCAAAAAUUAAAAAUUAAAAAAAUUAUUACUUAUUAGAAUGCAUGUCCAAUGCAGAGAUCUGUGUUGCUGAAAUGCUACUUUGGAUUUUGAGUUUUCCUUGAACCCAUGUAUGUAAGCGUUGUCUCAACUUAUUCUUCUUUCUUAAUCACAAAUCAUUCAAAAUGUUCAAAUGAAGACCGAUAAUUCUACUACCUUUUAAUGAAAUAUGAACAAUAUCUUCAUGACAUGCAUUUUCUAUGCCUUACUAUUUCAGGUUAUCUUGAAGGACUCAUGCCCUGUGGAGCUCAUACAUGCACAGUGCUCCUGUGUCGCUGGUACUGCCUUAUGCAACCACACUGUAGCUCUGUUGUAUCAGUCCGCACAUUAUUCGCAGCUGAAGACUCCAGUGGUCCCGCCUGUCCUGAGCUGCACAGAGAGUGAGCAGUGUUGGCACGAGCCAAGAACAAUGGUAGUUUGUAUGUAUAUAUGCAUGAAGGCCUACAUAAGAGCGCAUGACAUCAAUAUCUCAACAAAUGUCUUUCAAUUAAAUAGGGUGUGAAGCCAGGCAAAACGAAGCCAGUGGACAAAAUGGUUGUCUUGUCUGCGAGGCCUAAACCAACACAGACGACGAUGGCUGAUGGCGUGAGGAGCACACUCUACAAGGCUUAUCAAGGAGAACUACCAGACCUCUCUCUUCUGCAAGUGUCAGAGAUUUAUAAAGACAUGGCCUGUGCACCACUGAUUACCACUAUGGGCAUCUCCAGUGAGGUCCUGUUGGUGGACUCUGCACUUGGAAAGGUCCAGGCAGGAAGUCCACUGUCGUAUCAGCAACCGCUGAUCACAAGCAGGCAAAUAACCUUCCACCCAGAUGCCCCUCCCCCACCACCCCUUCCUCUGCAGCACUACAGACUGGACCCAUCAAACUGCAUGUUCGUGUGCAGCGAAAAGGAACAGCUGUUUAUAGCAUCGUUGGAGACCACGUGGGAUAUGGCUCACAAAAUUGAAGCUGCAACCAAGGACCAGAGUAUGGUUUCAGAAUGGCAUCAGCUGAGAAGGCCGCGCCUCACCUCCUCCCACUUCAGGGAGGUGUGCCAUGUUAGAGGACCGACUUCAGCUGAACACCUAGCUGACAGGAUCCUGCGAGGGACCCCUCAGACACUAGUGAUGAAGAGGGGUCUAGAAAUGGAAAUGGAGGCAGGUGCUGUCCGAGUACUGUCAGAGCAAUCUUGUGAACUACUCACCAUGUGGGUUCGUCAUCCACCCUGAUGCACCCUGGCUGGGGUCUUCUCCGGAUGGAUUGAUUUACGACCCCACAGAAAGCCCACCAUUUGGCCUGCUUGAAGUAAAGUGUCCCCACGCAAAAAGCUAUGUUGACUGCUCCUACCUGAAGCUCGAGGGAGGCAACCUGAAGCUGAAGCAACAACACGCCUACUUCUGGCAAGUGCAAGGACAGCUGCUUGUCACAGGACUUGAAUGGUGUGACUUUGUGGUGUUUGCUGAGGAGGACAUGUUAGUCCAACGGCUCUAUAAAGACAAUGGCAUUGCAAACACCAUCAGAGAAAGGGCAGAUCAUUUCUUUUUUUACUUUUACAUGCCAAGAUACCUGACUAAUUGAAUAAAUUCAAUUGGUUAUGAAUUAUUUUUAUUUGGUUAAUAUAAUAAACA